AGUGUCGGGCAGAACUUUGACACAAGUCCACCUUGUGGAUUUGCAAAUUGGGCGCUAAUUCUGACUGACACAACUCCGCAAAUUUCACGCAACAGCAUGCUCUCGCAAGCAUAAACAUACAUAUGUAUAUGCAAGAUCGAUAGAACUCAGCAACAACAUAAAGUUAACCAGGCGGCUGACAAUGACAAUGGCGCCAGUCAUCAUGAUCAAGGUUAUCAUAACGGUAACCAACAAAGAGGAGGAGCCCAAACUAAUGGUCGUAGACCAUGGAGUUUAAUAGGAAGAGGUGGACGUAGAACAUCAUUAAAUAAAACGGGACCUAGGCCGGUGAAAAAUUAUAAAGGGGGCGGGGCUUGCCACAGUAGGACAGUAUCUUUCAAAGACAGCAUCCCCUCUUUCAGAACUAUCUUUU
ensembl:ncRNA lncRNA:CR45433 long non-coding RNA:CR45433